rfam:Schistosoma curassoni strain Dakar, Senegal genome assembly, scaffold: SCTD_scaffold0021909
AUCCAGCUGAAGAGUCCCAACUAGGACGAAACGUGCGUCCUAAAU